UUUUGCCCCAUAUUUCUACGGGAAGCAGCAGUGAGGAAUUUUUCACAAUGGACGAAAGUCUGAUGGAGCAAUACCAUGUGAACGAUGAAGGUCUUCUGAUUGUAAAGUUCUUUUAUUUAGGAAAAAAAGCUUGAGAGGAAAUGAUUAAGCCUUGAUUGUACUAAAUGAAUAAGUGACAGCUAACUAUGUGCCAGCAGCUGCGGUAAAACAUAGGUCACGAGCAUUAUCCGGAUUUAUUGGGCGUAAAGGAAGCGUAGGCGGACAAGUUGAUCUAUUGUUAAAGGCACUUGCUCAACGAGUUGUUUGUGAUAGAUAUCGUUUGUCUAGAAUUAGUUAGGAGAUACUGGAAUUCAAUGUGUAGCGGUGGAAUGCGUAGAUAUAUUGAGGAACACCAGAGGCUAAGGCGAGUAUCUAGGACAUAAUUGACGCUGAGGCUUGAAAGCGUGGGGAGCGAAUGGGAUUAGAUACCCCAGUAGUCCACGCCGUAAACGAUGGGUAUUAGGUAUUUGGUUUAGGACUGAGUGCUGUAGCUAACGCGUUAAAUACCCCGCCUGGGUAGUAUAUAUGCAAAUAUAACUCAAGA
rnacentral:rRNA from 1 species